ACACAUGCAAGUCGAGUGCGCAGUUUCCCUGUAGCAAUACAGGGGAAUGGGCGCACGGCGCACGGGUGAGUAACACGUGGGCAACCUGCCCUCCAAUGGGGGAUAACCCGCCGAAAGGCGGGCUAAUACCGCAUGACAUCACGGUGGCUUCGGCCGCUGUAAUCAAAGGCCGCAAGGCCGUUGGAGGAGGGGCCCGCGCCCGAUUAGCUAGUUGGUGAGGUAACGGCUCACCAAGGCAUUGAUCGGUAGCCGGUCUGAGAGGAUGGCCGGCCACACUGGAACUGAGACACGGUCCAGACUCCUACGGGAGGCAGCAGUGGGGAAUCUUGCGCAAUGGGCGAAAGCCUGACGCAGCGACGCCGCGUGGGGGAUGAAGCUUCUCGGAGUGUAAACCCCUUUCGACCCGGAAGAAUGUCCCGCAAGGGAUUGACGGUACGGGUAUAAGAAGCCCCGGCUAACUACGUGCCAGCAGCCGCGGUAAGACGUAGGGGGCCAGCGUUGCUCGGAAUUACUGGGCGUAAAGGGUUCGUAGGCGGUGCGGCAAGUCGGAAGUGAAAUCUCCAGGCUCAACUUGGAGGCUGCUCCCGAAACUGCCGCGCUAGAGUGCGGGAGAGGCCAGUGGAAUUGCAGGCGUAGCGGUGAAAUGCGUAGAUAUCUGCAGGAACACCCGUGGCGAAGGCGGCUGGCUGGACCGCAACUGACGCUGAGGAACGAAAGCUAGGGGAGCAAACAGGAUUAGAUACCCUGGUAGUCCUAGCCCUAAACGAUCAGGACUUGGGGUGCAUCCCGACGGGAUGCGUCCCGUAGCUAACGCGUUAAGUCCUGCGCCUGGGGAGUACGGUCGCAAGACUGAAACUCAAAGGAAUUGACGGGGGCCCGCACAAGCGGUGGAACAUGUGGUUCAAUUCGACGCAACGCGAAGAACCUUACCUGGGCU
rnacentral:rRNA from 1 species